AUCAUUUGUUGUAGUCAUGAUAUUUACAUUGAGUGUGUGCUCUACCUGGGAGCUGCCCUCUUCCAUAAUAACGUUUACUGUCGUCUUUACAACAGAUAUCUUUCCUACUGUAUUCUAUAAGAGAGACUUGUUAAUCCAAUCUCCAAACAUGCUCAAAUACAAACAUUAUAACUAUCUUAUCUAUUUCUACAGUAAGAGGUGAAAUUCUAUGGGCACGUCAGGAUUUGAUCAAAUUCCAAUUCAUGGGAUGACAAUUUAAUUUAAAAUGUAUUCUCGAUUCAACAUGAUUCUCAAGUCAAACCGAUUCUCGCAAUUUAUUAUUUGAUUUAGUAUUUAUAAUAAAACCUUUUCAAAACAAUUAUUUAACAAAAUUCAAUUUGGCUUGUGCUUAUGUGAAGAAAAAACAUGUCCUAUAUGCUUUACUUUGUUCUUCUUGUUUCCAUAGAUGUAACCAACAGUUUGAAGGAUGUCGAAAGUGGAGCUGAAAUGGAUAGCAAGACUUGAUCCUUCUACCAUACCCGCCAUGACCACGUCUGAUAGCUGCAACUUUAAAACUUGUCUCGUUCCCAUCUCUGGAAGAAAUGUGCACAACAAAAUUAGACAUAAAUUAAUAAUGAAUAUAUCACAAAUCAAUGUGAUGAACAUUUAUGUUGACAAAAAUUGCCAACAGGCCUGGCUCACAUUAUCCAGUUUAGUUCAUCCUAAAGGUGUGUGAAGGAGGUCUUCCAAUUAAUUCAUAACUGCACUAGACCAGUCUACAUGAAGAGAAGGCCAUUAGAUCUGGUGUUGGCUGUGUAAGUGGGCACGCUGUGAUGUGAUAGUGUGACAGACGUACUUAUGAGGGCAUUCUAGUACAUGCUCUCUGCCUGCACGACUCCUCUUCUCUGCACUAUUGAGACUGUUAGCUGUUGCCUGCAGCCUUCCAUAUGAUUCAUUCUCGUCUAAUGCCCACCUGACUGGCCUGAUGUCUACAAAAGAAAGAUAUUGGCGAUUCUGUGUUUAUUUCUUCACAACAUUUUAUACAGAACUUUUAUUCAGCCGGUAGGAAGUGCAAAAUUUGUUUGAAGAAACACAAGAGGAGGUAGGAAAAAGUACUAUUUUCAUCAAGGGAUGGGAAUCGAAAACCGGUUCUUGUUCAGAAACGGUUCCCAGCGUAUCAAUUCCUUGGAAUUGCUUGCCAUUUCGUCUAGAGGCCCUUUUCACGUUUUUUCCGGGUGGGGAUGACGUCUUUACGCAUUGUGCAUAGAGACGUCAGCAACAUGGCAUGUUCCCGGGUGGAAAAAUCGCACCGAAGUUCUACGACAUUUUACUAAAAAAGACUGCAACAGCGCUACUUGUAAUUCCAAGGUUACUAUUUCAUCAAGAGGAGGACAUGCUGAAACAUAAUCGUGGCAUGCACACGAUAAUGAUGUGUGACAUGCAGUGAGACAAUUGGUGGUUCUUUUUAAUGUGACUCUGUAUUGAUUCAAGUGUGGGCAGGUGUACCUAAUAUUGUGACCGGUGAAUCUUUAUACUGUUAAUGAAGUUUAUUUUAGACUGUGUCUAAAAAAAGGCUGUGUUGUUCGUCUUUAAGACAUAUAUUUAAGCAGUGUAAAUUUUCUAAAUAUUAAUUUGGAUAUUUGUAGAAAGGGCGGGUCAUGGAGGGUUUCAUUUGCCAUCUAAAGGGAAUGCCUCCACACACUAAGGGCCUGAUUUACUAAAGGUUUGCAAGUACUAAAACGUGUGCAAACAUGAUAGUGGGGAUGUAACGGUUAACGGUAUAAUGAUAAACCACGGUAAAAUUUCAGGCGAUUUGUACAACCAUUUACAUUUUUAAUUACCAAAAAACUUAAUUCAUUAAUGCGUU